rnacentral:rRNA from 1 species
AGAACGAACGCUGGCGGCAUGCCUAAUACAUGCAAGUCGAACGAACUCUUCGGAGUUAGUGGCGCACGGGUGCGUAACGCGUGGGAAUCUGCCCCUUGGUUCGGAAUAACAGUUGGAAACGACUGCUAAUACCGGAUGAUGACGAAAGUCCAAAGAUUUAUCGCCAAGGGAUGAGCCCGCGUAGGAUUAGCUAGUUGGUGAGGUAAAGGCUCACCAAGGCAACGAUCCUUAGCUGGUCUGAGAGGAUGAUCAGCCACACUGGGACUGAGACACGGCCCAGACUCCUACGGGAGCAGCAGUAGGAUAUGGACAAUGGGCAAAGCCUGAUCCAAGCAAAUGACCGCGUAGAUGAUGGAAGUCCUUAGGUGUAAAGUCUACUUUUACCGAGUAUAGAUAACUGAC